GGGAAACUGCCUGAUGGAGGGGGAUAACUACUGGAAACGGUAGCUAAUACCGCAUAACGUCGCAAGACCAAAGAGGGGGACCUUCGGGCCUCUUGCCAUCAGAUGUGCCCAGAUGGGAUUAGCUAGUAGGUGGGGUAACGGCUCACCUAGGCGACGAUCCCUAGCUGGUCUGAGAGGAUGACCAGCCACACUGGAACUGAGACACGGUCCGGACUCCUACGGGAGGCAGCAGUGGGGAAUAUUGCACAAUGGGCGCAAGCCUGAUGCAGCCAUGCCGCGUGUAUGAAGAAGGCCUUCGGGUUGUAAAGUACUUUCAGCGGGGAGGAAGGUGUUGCGGUUAAUAACCGCAGCAAUUGACGUUACCCGCAGAAGAAGCACCGGCUAACUCCGUGCCAGCAGCCGCGGUAAUACGGAGGGUGCAAGCGUUAAUCGGAAUUACUGGGCGUAAAGCGCACGCAGGCGGUCUGUCAAGUCGGAUGUGAAAUCCCCGGGCUCAACCUGGGAACUGCAUUCGAAACUGGCAGGCUAGAGUCUUGUAGAGGGGGGUAGAAUUCCAGGU
rnacentral:rRNA from 1 species